UCCGUAGGGAGCAAGCGUUGUCCGGAAUCAUUGGGCGUAAAGCGCGCGUAGGCGGCCUCAUAAGUCCGUUGUGAAAGUCAAAGGCUCAACCUUUGAAAGCCGAUGGAUACUGUGAGGCUAGAGUACGGAAGAGGCGAGUGGAAUUCCUGGUGUAGCGGUGGAAUGCGCAGAUAUCAGGAGGAACACCAAUGGCGAAGGCAGCUCGCUGGGACGGUACUGACGCUGAGGCGCGAAAGCGUGGGGAGCAAACAGG
rnacentral:rRNA from 1 species